GACGAACGCUGGCGGCGUGCCUAAUACAUGCAAGUAGAACGCAGUUGCGAACGGGUGAGUAACGCGUAGGUAACUGCCUCAUAGCGGGGGAUAACUAUUUGAAACGAUAGCUAAUACCGCAUACUUUGAGAUGGACCUGCGUUGUAUUAGCUAGUUGGUGAGGUAAAGGCUCACCAAGGCGACGAUACAUAGCCGACCGGGGAGGGUGAACCGCCACACUGGGACUUGGACACGGCCCAGACUCCUACGGGAGGGAGCAGUAGGGAAUUUUUGGCAAUGGAGGGAAGUCUGACCGAGCAACGCCGCGUGAGUGGAGAAGGUCUUCGGAUCGUAAAGCUAUGUUGUUAGAGAAGCGGUACCUAACCAGAAAGGGCCGGCUAACUACGUGCCAGCAGCCGCGGUAAUUC
rnacentral:rRNA from 1 species